CUCGAGGAAAGUCUCUGGCUGUCAGCACCCCUGGGCAGGGAUAUGGCCUCAAGCUGGCUAGAGGCCAGGCGGCAGUGCCUCCGUUUGCUGAAGACGAGGGGCUUCUUGCUGCUGAAGCUCUCGGCCGCCGUCUUGGCCGUGCUUCUCUUCUGUGAAUUUCUGAUCUACUACCUUGUUAUCUUCCGGUGUAGCUGGCCCGAGCUGAAAACCCCUGAAGAUGCCGGCACCCCUGGGGCCCCCAAGGCCCCUGAACCUGUGCUCAGGGCCAUGUUCUUGGCUGACACCCACCUGCUCGGGGCCAUAAGAGGCCACUGGCUGGACAAAUUACGGAGGGAGUGGCAGAUGGAGCGAGCCUUCCAGACAGCGCUGUGGCUGCUGCAGCCGGAAGUUGUCUUCAUCCUGGGGGACAUCUUCGACGAGGGGAAGUGGAGCUCCCCCGAGGCCUGGGCGGACGAUGUGGGGCGCUUCUGGAAGGUGUUCCGACACCCGCCCCACGUGCAGCUGCGGGCCGUGGCUGGCAACCAUGACAUCGGCUUCCACUACCAGAUGGACACAUACAGAAUAAAACGAUUUGAGAAAGUUUUCAACCCUGAAAGGCUGUUUUCUUGGAAAGGAAUUAAUUUCGUGAUGAUCAACAGUGUCGCGCUGGAAGGGGAUGGCUGUGACAUCUGCUCCAGGGCAGAGGCUGAGCUCCUGGAAAUCUCUCACUGGCUGAACUGCUCUCGGGAGCUGCUGUGGUGGCUGCGGCCGCGCCUGAUCCUCAGCGGCCACACGCACAGCGCCUGCGAGGUCCAGCACAGGGCAGGCACCCUGGAGGUCAGUGUGCCAUCUUUCAGUUGGAGGAACAGAAACAACCCCAGUUUCAUCAUGGGCAGCAUCACGCCCAUGGACUACGCCCUUGCCAAGUGCUACCUGCCGUGUGAGGACAUGGUUCUGACCACUUACUGUGUGGCAGCCGGGUGCCUCAUGCUCAUCAUGUUAAUCCCCACUAGGCUUGUGUCUGUACCUUUUCAUUUUGGUCAGAGGGUGCUCAGAAAAUUUAAGACCAUGUGAGUAGCAGCAGACUUUUGCUCUCAGCAGUAGUAAGUCCCAAAGCCAAAAAAAAAUAAACUUUGGGAAGUGCUCAUGGACGGUGAGACUACAGUGGGCCGUGAUCACCACUCCUGGGUUCCGGAUCACUUGUAUCAGGCCCUGCAGGAUCAGUGUUGUUCCCAAGCUGCAAAAAUGGGACCUGUCUCUACACCGGGUCUGUCUGCUUGUUUAUCAAGUAUGUGUGUUAUCAGAGACUCUGUACAGUGUGCAGAAGCUGCGUGUGAUCACUGGCAUGCACUGGACAGCCUCCCUUCCCCAGGACUCUUCCCCAGGAUGGAGGGCCAGCUGUACACAUAUGUGGGGUCUGUGUCUGUCCUCCUGUGAAUGUUCUCAAGUUUCUGUUUUAUAAAGUCGUGUGCUUAAAAUAAAAUACAGAUGCUACAAGC
rnacentral:lncRNA from 1 species